rnacentral:rRNA from 1 species
GACCCCCUCCCCAAAGACAAUGACGGCGGCCUGUGGUUCCCCGGUACACUGAGCUUUCAUCGAGCGCGUGUCGGAGAAGGGCGCCGGGACACGGUCCUCUCCUCUCACGAGGAAAUUUUAUCAAGGUUGACCUCGGAUCAGGUAGGAAUACGCGCUGAACUUAAGCAUAUCAAUAAGCGCAGGAAAAGAAACCAACAGGGAUUGCCUCAGUAACGGCGAGUGAAGCGGCAAUAGCUCAAAUUUGAAAUCUGGCCUCUUGAGGUCCGAGUUGUAAUUUGUAGAGGAUGUUUUGGGUACCGCCCCGGUUUAAAUUUCUUGGAACAGAAUGUCAGAGAGGGUGAGAAUCCCGUCUUGGACCGGCGUAGGGCCUGUGUAAGACUCCUUCGACGAGUCGAGUUGUUUGGGAAUGCAGCUCAAAAUGGGUGGUAAAUUUCAUCUAAAGCUAAAUAUUGGCCAGAGACCGAUAGCGCACAAGUAGAGUGAUCGAAAGAUGGAAAGCACUUUGAAAAGAGAGUUAAACAGUAUGUGAAAUUGUUGAAAGGGAAGCGCUGGCGACCAGACUUGAGCGCGACGGUUCCCCCAGCCUUUUGGCUGGGCUACUCCGUCGUGUCCAGGCCAACAUCGGUUCGGAGGGUCGGUUAAGGGCUCUGGGAAUGUACCUACUCACGGGUAGACUUAUAGACCAGGGUGUCAUGCGACCUCUCGGGACCGAGGAACGCGCUUCGGCUCGGAUGUUGGCGUAAUGGUUGUCAGCGACC